GAUGAACGCUGGCGGCGUGCCUAAUACAUGCAAGUCGAGCGAACAGAUAAGGAGCUUGCUCCUUUGACGUUAGCGGCGGACGGGUGAGUAACACGUGGAUAACCUACCUAUAAGACUGGGAUAACUUCGGGAAACCGGAGCUAAUACCGGAUAACAUAUUGAACCGCAUGGUUCAAUAGUGAAAGGCGGCUUUGCUGUCACUUAUAGAUGGAUCCGCGCCGUAUUAGCUAGUUGGUAAGGUAACGGCUUACCAAGGCAACGAUACGUAGCCGACCUGAGAGGGUGAUCGGCCACACUGGAACUGAGACACGGUCCAGACUCCUACGGGAGGCAGCAGUAGGGAAUCUUCCGCAAUGGGCGAAAGCCUGACGGAGCAACGCCGCGUGAGUGAUGAAGGUCUUCGGAUCGUAAAACUCUGUUAUCAGGGAAGAACAAAUGUGUAAGUAACUGUGCACAUCUUGACGGUACCUGAUCAGAAAGCCACGGCUGACUACGUG
rnacentral:rRNA from 1 species